UACGUAGGGGCAAGCGUUGUCCGGAAUCAUUGGGCGUAAAGAGCGUGUAGGCGGCUCGGUAAGUCCGCUCUGAAAGCCCGGGGCUCAACCCCGGGAGGCGGGCGGAUACUAUCCGGCUAGAGGAAUGGAGGGAGACUGGAAUGACGUUGGUGUAGCAGUGAAAUGCGUAGAUAUCAAGUGGAACACCAGUGGCGAAGGCGAGUCUCGUGGACAUUUCCUGACGCUGAGGCACGAAAGCCAGGGAGCAAACGGG
rnacentral:rRNA from 1 species